CUAGCUUGCUAGAAGAUGACGAGUGGCGGACGGGUGAGUAAUGCUUGGGAACUUGCCUUUAGGAGGGGGAUAACAGUUGGAAACGACUGCUAAUACCGCAUAAUGUCUACGGACCAAAGGGGGCUUCGGCUCUCACCUAAAGAGAGGCCCAAGUGAGAUUAGCUAGUUGGUAAGGUAAAAGCUUACCAAGGCGACGAUCUCUAGCUGUUCUGAGAGGAAGAUCAGCCACACUGGGACUGAGACACGGCCCAGACUCCUACGGGAGGCAGCAGUGGGGAAUAUUGCACAAUGGGGGAAACCCUGAUGCAGCCAUGCCGCGUGUGUGAAGAAGGCCUUCGGGUUGUAAAGCACUUUCAGUUGUGAGGAAAGGUUGGUAGUUAAUACCUGCCAGCUGUGACGUUAACAACAGAAGAAGCACCGGCUAACUCCGUGCCAGCAGCCGCGGUAAUACGGAGGGUGCGAGCGUUAAUCGGAAUUACUGGGCGUAAAGCGCACGCAGGCGGUUUGUUAAGCUAGAUGUGAAAGCCCCGGGCUCAACCUGGGAUGGUCAUUUAGAACUGGCAGACUAGAGUCUUGGAGAGGGGAGUGGAAUUCCAGGUGUAGCGGUGAAAUGCGUAGAUAUCUGGAGGAACAUCAGUGGCGAAGGCGGCUCCCUGGCCAAAGACUGACGCUCAUGUGCGAAAGUGUGGGUAGCGAACAGGAUUAGAUACCCUGGUAGUCCACACCGUAAACGCUGUCUACUAGCUGUUUGUGAAUUUAAUUCGUGAGUAGCGAAGCUAACGCGAUAAGUAGACCGCCUGGGGAGUACGGCCGCAAGGUUAAAACUCAAAUGAAUUGACGGGGGCCCGC
rnacentral:rRNA from 1 species